rnacentral:misc_RNA from 1 species
AACUUUUGGCAAUGGAUCUCUAGGCUCUUGCGGCGAUGAAGAACGCAGCAAAAUGCGAAACGUGAUGCGAUUUGCAUGAAUCUGUGAGUCAUCUAAUCUUUGAACGCGAAUGGCACUGUUACGUAAGUAGCAGUAUGUCUGUUUGAGAAUCGCAAAACAAGAUCAACUCUAGUUGAGAGUUGGGAGUGGCCUUAUGCGUCGCGUAAGCGUGUAUUUGGCUUGAAUAGAUCGAGUUGAUGAGCUUCCCAGCGCGGCUCAAUGUGUGCUAGCGAGACAGUCGUCCCGACCUCACAUUACCGCUGCGUUGCAGAGUUCUGACCACAGCUCGCUAAACCCACAAAUCAAAUACGAUCUCAAAUCAGGCAAGAUUACCCGCUGAACUUAAGCAUAUCAAUAAGCGGAGGCU